rnacentral:rRNA from 1 species
UGGGGAAUUUUGGACAAUGGGCGAAAGCCUGAUCCAGCAAUGCCGCGUGUGUGAAGAAGGCCUUCGGGUUGUAAAGCACUUUUGUCCGGAAAGAAAUCCUUGGCUCUAAUACAGUCGGGGGAUGACGGUACCGGAAGAAUAAGCACCGGCUAACUACGUGCCAGCAGCCGCGGUAAUACGUAGGGUGCAAGCGUUAAUCGGAAUUACUGGGCGUAAAGCGUGCGCAGGCGGUUUGCUAAGACCGAUGUGAAAUCCCCGGGCUCAACCUGGGAACUGCAUUGGUGACUGGCAGGCUAGAGUAUGGCAGAGGGGGGUAGAAUUCCACGUGUAGCAGUGAAAUGCGUAGAGAUGUGGAGGAAUACCGAUGGCGAAGGCAGCCCCCUGGGCCAAUACUGACGCUCAUGCACGAAAGCGUGGGGAGCAAACAGGAUUAGAUACCCUGGUAGUCCACGCCCUAAACGAUGUCAACUAGUUGUUGGGGAUUCAUUUCCUAGUAACGUAGCUAACGCGUG